GUGCUUGUUUAAGCAGCAUGUAUACUAAAAUUGGAAUGAUAACAGAAUUUUGUAUGGCCCUUGUGCAAGGAUGAUACACAAAUUUGUGAAGGGUUCCAUAUGUAA